rnacentral:lncRNA from 11 species
AUGUUUUCUUUCUUUUACAAUCCUUCUUAUCAUCUUGAGAGCCCUGAACAAUUGACCUCUACACCACCAGAAACUAUGCUCCAAAGGUUUCUCAAGCCAGCCCCUUCAAGCAAAAUGAGAUAUGGACACAAGGGAGAGUGGAUGGACUCUUGGAGAAUGUGCCUUCUAUUAGCGCAAGUACAAGAAUUGCAUGAGAAGGAGAUAGCUAGAAGAAGAAGAAGCUGGAGAAGCAGCAGUGUCUCCUGGUGGAUGGAAGGUCUCCAGUCUCUUAAAACAGUGGUGGCUCCUGAGGUUUACCCAUUCGUGGCCCACACCUGUUCAACACAUCCCAGACUAGGACUUGGAGCACUGCAGAAAACAAAAGCACAAGGACACCAGAAAGCUUCUUCUGGAUCCAAUCCAAGGACUGUAUACACAUGUGCUUUCAGAUUCCCUGUUGACUUACAGCAACCCCAUGAAUUUCAUAGGAUUUUCUUAGGAAAGGAAUGCUCAGGUGGUUUUGCCAGUUUCUUUCUCUGAAAUAGAACCUACAGCAUUCAUUGGUGAUCUUCCAACCAAAUACUAAGCAAAGUACUAAUCCUGCUUAACGUCCAAGAUGAAAUGGGAUUUAAUACCUUUAGGUUAUUUAGGCCAAUCAAAGGCUUACCUAGACCCCUUAUUCUGUUGCCACAGAAGUGGCCAACCAGUUGCCUAUGGAAGAACAUAAGCUGGACUUAAAGGCAAAAGCAUACCUAAAAGAAUUGCAUUUUUUGUGAUCUACUCCAUGGCCUGUAAACCUCUUAGUUCAUUUGAGGUAAGCAUGAAUCACCUCUUUGGUGAUUUCCCACUCUAUUAAAACAAUUGCAGAGUUAACAAAAUCACAUAUUUUUGGAAGAGUCAAGACAGACACUCCAAAUAAAGAUGGGGAAAUGGCUCUGUCUGCCUUUUUAUCCUAUGAAUGCUGGGUUUGGAUUAAUCAGGAGGUACUUUGUGAAAAAGAUAAAACGGUUGACCUCAACAUCAAG